ensembl:lncRNA
CUAUUUUCAAGGAGGGAGGAAACAUCGUUAGAUAAGCUGCUGGUGAGCUGGGUUUUGAACCAAACACACACUCCUGUUCAUCCCGGUGGAGCAGCUCUACUGAUCCAGGGACCAGACUGGCUGCAGCAGAGUCCCAGGAUCCUGCCCACCUGCCAUGGUUGAAGACAAUCCUUUUCCCGCCUUCCGUUGCAGAGAUGCUCUCUUUCCUCCCCGUGUUUGACAAUCAGAGAGCCGAGACUCGUAAAGUCCC